rnacentral:rRNA from 1 species
UACGGAGGGGGCUAGCGUUAUUCGGAAUUAUUGGGCGUAAAGGGCGUGUAGGCGGCUUCGUAAGUCUCAUUGUGAAAGCCCUCGGCUCAACCGAGGAACUGCAUGGGAAACUGCGGAGCUUGAGUCCGGGAGAGGUGAGUGGAAUUCCCAGUGUAGCGGUGAAAUGCGUAGAUAUUGGGAGGAACACCAGUGGCGAAGGCGGCUCACUGGACCGGAACUGACGCUGAGGCGCGAAAGCGUGGGGAGCAAACAGG